rnacentral:rRNA from 1 species
CAGCCGCCGCGGUAAUACGUAGGGUGCGAGCGUUAAUCGGAAUUACUGGGCGUAAAGCGUGCGCAGGCGGUUUUGUAAGACAGGCGUGAAAUCCCCGGGCUCAACCUGGGAAUGGCGCUUGUGACUGCAAAGCUAGAGUGCGGCAGAGGGGGAUGGAAUUCCGCGUGUAGCAGUGAAAUGCGUAGAUAUGCGGAGGAACACCGAUGGCGAAGGCAGCCCCCUGGGCCAAUACUGACGCUCAUGCACGAAAGCGUGGGGAGCAAACAGGAUUAGAUACCCCGGUAGUCCCUGUCUCUUAUAC